rnacentral:pre_miRNA from 1 species
AAUUCAGCUGAAAAUGUCAUGAACAUAAAAGUUGUAGAACUCAUCAAGACAUUCAACUUUUAUUUUGGUCAUUUUUUCAUCCGACAAAGUGAUAGUAACAUUGUUCACAAAAUUUAAAUCUCUCUAUUAUAGUUUAUAAAAACAAAUGACAGAUAUGUAAAUUUUGUGAACAAUGUUACUAUCACUUUGUCGGAUAUAGAAAUGACCGAAAUAAAAGUUAUAUAUCUUGAUGAGUUAUACAACUUUGUUGUUGAUGACUUUUUCAGUUGAAAUC